CCCAGGUAAGCUUCGGUGCACUCUCCUGCUCCGCAUCGGGGACCAGACCCGAAGGCCCGCGCUUAAGGGCUUCUGGUGCGUAUGCGCCUCUUGGAAUCCUUCUGGGCCUCUCCUCAGACAAGUCCACACAUCUGCACGUCAACACACAGCUUUGCCUCGAAUUCAGAGACUCCAUAUCAGACCUGAUGUCCAUCCGUGGCCUGCAGGCUCCACGUUAAGAAUUUCCCACAAGCGGAGGCCGCAGGGACGAGGGAGAGAGUGGCAUCGCCCCUUCAUGUUGCUUGAACAGAAUGCACGGAGGAGCAAGGGUCAGCGACCAGCAUGACCCCCAGGCUGGUCGUCUACUAAACCACUGGGCGCUGUGUAAACCCGCACUGAGGGAGGACCGUGCUGGACGGAC
ensembl:lncRNA